GAUGAACGCUGGCGGCGUGCCUAAUACAUGCAAGUCGAGCGAACAGACGAGGAGCUUGCUCCUCUGACGUUAGCGGCGGACGGGUGAGUAACACGUGGAUAACCUACCUAUAAGACUGGGAUAACUUCGGGAAACCGGAGCUAAUACCGGAUAAUAUAUUGAACCGCAUGGUUCAAUAGUGAAAGACGGUUUUGCUGUCACUUAUAGAUGGAUCCGCGCCGCAUUAGCUAGUUGGUAAGGUAACGGCUUACCAAGGCAACGAUGCGUAGCCGACCUGAGAGGGUGAUCGGCCACACUGGAACUGCGACACGGUCCAGACUCCUACGGGAGGCAGCAGUAGGGAAUCUUCGGCAAUGGGCGAAAGCCUGACGCAGCAACGCCGCGUGAGUGAUGAAGGUCUUCGGAUCGUAAAACUCUGUUAUUUGGGAAGAAGAAAUGUGUAAGUAACUAUGCACGUCUUGACGGUACCUAAUCAGAAAGCCACGGCUAACUACGUG
rnacentral:rRNA from 1 species